GGUGGAUGGUGUGCGUAGUGUCAGUCUACAUCUAGAGCCGUCUCCAGUCUGUCUCUUACAGGCUAUGAAAUGGUUCUUACACCACACUCGCAGCCACAGAACCAAUGGAGAUCAUAGUACUGGCCCAGUGACGUCUAAACUACUAUCCACCACUGGCCAGCCUCCAUAGUCUCCUACAAGA